AACGAACGCUGGCGGCAUGCCUAACACACGCAAGUCGAACGAGAUCUUCGGGUCUAGUGGCGCACGGGUGCGUAACGCGUGGGAAUCUGCCCUUUGGUUCGGAAUAACAGUUGGAAACGACUGCUAAUACCGGAUGAUGACGAAAGUCCAAAGAUUUAUCGCCAGAGGAUGAGCCCGCGUAGGAUUAGCUAGUUGGUGUGGUAAAGGCGCACCAAGGCGACGAUCCUUAGCUGGUCUGAGAGGAUGAUCAGCCACACUGGGACUGAGACACGGCCAGGCUCCUACGGGAGGCAGCAGUGGGGAAUAUUGGACAAUGGGCGAAAGCCUGAUCCAGCAAUGCCGCGUGAGUGAUGAAGGCCUUAGGGUUGUAAAGCUCUUUUACCCGGGAUGAUAAUGACAGUACCGGGAGAAUAAGCUCCGGCUAACUCCGUGCCAGCCGCCGCCGUAA
rnacentral:rRNA from 1 species